AUUGAACGCUGGCGGCAGGCCUAACACAUGCAAGUCGAGCGAGCGGCGGACGGGUGAGUAAUGUCUGGGAAACUGCCUGAUGGAGGGGGAUAACUACUGGACACGGUAGCUCAUACCGCAUCCCAUCGGAUGUGCCCAGAUGGGAUUAGCUUGUUGGUGGGGUAACGGCUCACCAAGGCGACGAUCCCAAGCUGGUCUGAGAGGAUGACCAGCCACACUGGAGCUGAGACACGUUCCAGACUCCUACGAGAGUCAGCAGUGGGGAAGAUUGCACAAUGGGGGCAAGCCUGAUGCAGACAUGCCGCGUGUAUGAAGAAGGCCUUCGGGUUGUAAAGUACUAUCAGCGGGGAGGCGUUACCCGCAGAAGAAGCACCGGCUAACUCCGUGCCAGCCGCCGCGGUAAUAC
rnacentral:rRNA from 1 species